CAUCUUUUUAUUGGAGAAAGGAGAAUUACUGGAGCCUAGGGAGAAAAUUUCAAGGAAAAACCCAUAAAAUCCGAGAAGGAGAUUCAAGAUCCAAGAUUAAAAAACAAAUUAGAGGGAAGUCAACCCAUCAAGCUUGAAGACCCAAGAGUUUUCUUUAUCCUCUUCUUCUUGAUAAUUAUUUUCUUCACCGAUUUGAGAAGAGAGACUUUGACACUUGAGCUAUAUCUAUUGGAGGGAACAAGCAACUUUGGAUCUACAAAAGGGUGUGAAAAUGUGAUGGUGUAGCCAUUGGGAUGUGAAGCAAAUGGAGUUUCAAGUUUGGAUACGAGGAGUAUUUUCAAGCUAAAGGGGGUAUCUUUGAAUCUUCUUUAAAUUGAUGUUUUCAUUGGUUGUGACUUAUGUGAUUUAAUGUGUUUUUACGGUAUAUUAUAUUAAAUUGCAUUGAUUGAUUUCUCUGUGGUGUUGAAAUUUCCAAGAGAGAGUGUGGAAUUUUGAUUGCUUUGAGCUUAUGGGAGCAGAAAUGUGGAUGUUUAGCUUCAGGAAUGAAAUGGAGUUGUCUAUUUAAUUUUAA